rnacentral:rRNA from 1 species
AGAGAGAGACAUGCGCGCAUAUCAAUAAGCGGAGGAAAAGAAACUAACUAGGAUUCCCUCAGUAACGGCGAGUGAAGCGGGAAGAGCUCAAAUUUGAAAUCUUCAAGGUUCUACCUUGACGAAUUGUAGUUUAAAGAAGUGUUUUCUGUUGGAGUUUUGGUAAAAGUUCUUUGGAAUAGGACAUCAUAGAGGGUGAGAAUCCCGUAUUUGACCAUUAUUUCCAGCUUUGUGGAUACACUCUCAAAGAGUCGGAUUGUUUGGGAAUGCAGUCCAAAAUGGGUGGUAAAUUUCAUCUAAAGCUAAAUAUUGGCGAGAGACCGAUAGCGAACAAGUACCGUGAGGGAAAGAUGAAAAGAACUUUGAAAAGAGAGUUAAACAGUACGUGAAAUUGUCAAAAGGGAAGCGUUUGACACCAGUGCUGUUUUCUCGAAAAUCAAUUAAAGAAGCAUGAUUUAUGCUAAGUUGUAUUAGACUUUAUCAGCUUCUGCACUCGUUUCUUGAGCUUUUCUUUAAUGCACUUUUCAGUUAACAAGUCAACAUCAAUUUCUUUUGUUGUAAAAGGGUCAUUGGAAGGUGGCUUUCUUUUCGGAGAAAGUGUUUAUAGCCUUUGGCCUCUGCAAUCGGAGAGAUUGAGGUCUGCAGCGUAGAUCCUUCGGGGUUAGAUACAUUUGUGCUAAGUUAUAGCCUUUCAUAGACAACUUGUUGACUAUGAUCAGUCAUGUAGCUUACUCGCUUAUGCUAUUUUACCUACGCUUAGGAUGUUGAUGUGAUACUGCGAGCA